ACUCCUACGGGAGGCAGCAGUGGGGAAUAUUGCACAAUGGGCGCAAGCCUGAUGCAGCCAUGCCGCGUGUAUGAAGAAGGCCUUCCGGGUUGUGAAAUGUAACUUUCAGUCAGUGAGGAAGGUAGUGUAGUUAAUAGCUGCAUUAUUUGACGUUAGCUGCAGAAGAAGCACCGGCUAACUCCGUGCCAGCAGCCGCGGUAAUACGGAGGGUGCGAGCGUUAAUCGGAAUUACUGGGCGUAAAGCGCAUGCAGGUGGUUUGUUAAGUCAGAUGUGAAAGCCCGGGGCUCAACCUCGGAAUAGCAUUUGAAACUGGCAGACUAGAGUACUGUAGAGGGGGUAGAAUUUCAGGUGUAGCGGUGAAAUGCGUAGAGAUCUGAAGGAAUACCGGUGGCGAACGGNGGCCCCCUGGACAGAUACUGACACUCAGAUGCGAAAGCGUGGGGAGCAAACAGGAUUAGAUACCCUGGUAGCUACG
rnacentral:rRNA from 1 species